GAUGAACGCUGGCGGCGUGCCUAAUACAUGCAAGUCGAGCGAACAGACGAGGAGCUUGCUCCUUUGACGUUAGCGGCGGACGGGUGUGUAACACGUGGGUAACCUACCUAUAAGACUGGUAUAACUUCGGGAAACCGGCUCUUAUACCGUAUAAUAUUUCGAACCGCAUGGUUCGAUAGUGAAAUUUGGCUUUUCUAUCUCUUAUAGCUGGACCUGCGCCGUUUUAGCUAGUUGGUAAGGUAACGGCUUACCAAGGCAACGAUACGUAGCCGACCUGAGAGGGUGAUCGGCCACACUGGAACUGAGACACGGUCCAGACUCCUACGGGAGGCAGCAGUAGGGAAUCUUGCGCAAUGGGCGAAAGCAUGACGGAGCAAGGCCGAGUGAGUGAUGAAGGACUUCGGAUCGUAAAACUCUGUUAUUAGGGAAGAACAAACGUGUAAGUAACUGUGCACGUCUUGACGGUAACUAAUCAGAAAGCCACGGCUAACUACGUG
rnacentral:rRNA from 1 species